AUUGAACGCUGGCGGCAGGCCUAACACAUGCAAGUCGAACGGUAACAGGAAGAAGCUUGCUUCUUUGCUGACGAGUGGCGGACGGGUGAGUAAUGUCUGGGAAACUGCCUGAUGGAGGGGGAUAACUACUGGAAACGGUAGCUAAUACCGCAUAACGUCGCAAGACCAAAGAGGGGGACCUUCGGGCCUCUUGCCAUCGGAUGUGCCCAGAUGGGAUUAGCUAGUAGGUGGGGUAACGGCUCACCUAGGCGACGAUCCCUAGCUGGUCUGAGAGGAUGACCAGCCACACUGGAACUGAGACACGGUCCAGACUCCUACGGGAGGCAGCAGUGGGGAAUAUUGCACAAUGGGCGCAAGCCUGAUGCAGCCAUGCCGCGUGUAUGAAGAAGGCCUGCGGGUUGUAAAGUACUUUCAGCGGGGAGGAAGGGAGUAAAGUUAAUACCUUUGCUCAUGGACGUUACCCGCAGAAGAAGCACCGGCGAACUCCGU
rnacentral:rRNA from 1 species